UGUGUGUGUGAGUGAUGCUGUGGGAUUGUCUCCAGUCAGUAGGUGUGAGUGAUGCGUCAGUAGGUGUGAGUGAUGCUGUGGGAUCGUCCGGUCAGUAGGUGUGAGUGAUGCUGUGGGAUCGGGUCAGUAGGUGUGAGUGAUGCUGUGGGAUCGUCUCCGGUCAAGUAGGUGUGAGUGAUGCUGUGGGAUCGUCUCCGGUCAGUAGGUGUGAGUGAUGCUGUGGGAUCGUCUCCGGUCAAGUAGGUGUGAGUGAUGCUGUGGGAUCGGCUCCGGUCAAGUAGGUGUGAGUGAUGCUGUGGGAUCGGCUCCGGUCAG
ensembl:lncRNA